UUUAAGGACCCUAAUCUCAUUGGGAAGAUCCCAGUCUCAUAACCUCAUCUAAACCCUAAUUCCCUCCCAAAGGACCCACCUCUGAAUGCCAACACGUUGGGGGUCAGGGGCUUCAAAAUAUGAAUUAGGAGGGGGACAAAUUCGGCCAAUAGCAGUCGCAGUCCCUCUCCUUGAGAUCACGAACCUUCCUGGAAAAUCACUAAUACACAUGGAGCUCAGAACAACCUGUCCAGUCGGCUCUCGAGUAAAGUGUCCCAGCCCCAGCUCCCUUACUAAAGCUUUCUUGUUCAUUAUGUCAUUUAGCCUUACUGUGACAUCAGCAACCACAGCAGGACAGUGAUACAGGGCAGGGGGAUGUUGCAGUGGGACUGGCCACUGCAUGUUACAAACCAAGGCCCUAGGCCUCCUGUUAGCCAAGCCCUUCACUGCCACAAUCAGGACUUCUCCAAGGGUGGCCUUGCAUUGUCAACCUCAAUUUUUCAUCUCCCUUCAUUUUAAAAUAAUAAAAGUAGGCCAGGGAGUACUUAGGAGGAGGUAUGCCAUACAAUCAGACAAGAUCGGAUCUGUCUUAGUGGUGUGCAAUCCCCAAUACUCUAGAGCUGCCAAGAUAAAAGGGUUUCGCGGGAGAACAGGAGACAGCCAUGUGAAAAUCAGGAUCUUAAAGGACUUCUGUCCUGUCCGCCUCCAGGGGCUGGUGACUGCGGCUGGAAGCGCCCAUGACAGAGCUGGCGUCCUCGGGGGGCGGGUCCCCUGCGGGGGACGGGGAGGAGGGCCUGGGGGACGAGCGAGGCCUGGUCAUCCACCACCCCGCGGAGGAGCAGCCUCACCGCUGCCCACUGUGCGGCCAGACCUUCUCGCAGCAGCCCAGCCUGGUGCGGCACCAGAAGGCGCACGCCGGGGUGGGCCGCGCGGCCUCCUUCGUGUGCCCCGAGUGCGGCAAGGCCUUCAGCGUCAAGCACAACCUCGAGGUGCACCAGCGCACGCACACCGGCGAGCGGCCCUUCCCCUGCCCGGAGUGCGGCCGCUGCUUCAGCCUCAAGCAGAACCUGCUCACGCACCAGCGCAUCCACAGCGGCGAGAAGCCGCACCAGUGCGCACAGUGCGGCCGCUGCUUCCGCGAGCCGCGCUUCCUGCUCAACCACCAGCGCACCCACGCGCGCAUGCCCGCGCCGCACCCGCGCCGCCCCGGAGUGUUCGGGGAGCGGCGGCCCUACUUCUGUGCGCGCUGCGGCAAGAGCUUCGCGCGCGAGGGCUCGCUCAAGACCCACCAGCGCAGCCAUGGCCACGGCCCCGACGGCCAGGCGGCCCAUUUAGGCCGCGUGCUAUGAUGCGCGCCAGGCCUGCCGCCGCAGCCUGUGUCCUGCCCCAGGGCCGCGCCCGGGACUCCUGGAGCCGGCGUGGGGCUGCGGCCCGUGUUCUGGAUGCGAUCCCCGGAGACCAGGAGGGUGGGCUUGGGGUCUUGAAAGAGUGGGCCGUGGCCCGCCUUGGGCCACCUCCUCCCGAGUCUUCUCCACCCUCCGGCUGGCCACCCACAGCUGCCCUCGCGCUGGUUUUCGUCCUCAGGCUCACCCGGCCUAGAGUAGAUCUUCAUUCCCAGAAUGUCAGAGCGGAGAGCCCCGUGGAGAGGGCCACUCUCCACAAUGCCUGGGCCACCUCAGCCCCCAAGGUCUCCUAGCUCCAACGUGUACUAUCUGGUGUACUUGAGAAGACACUUCACUUCAUGGCUCAGUUUGCUCCUCUGUGCUGGAGACCCGUCUCCACCCGCUGCCCUUCCUUAGAGCUUCGUGGCUCCUUGGGAAUCACUGGCCCUCGGCCUGCCACCAGGUGGCUGCUGCUAUGUAGACCUACUUCUUAGUGGCAGAGAUAAAGAGGUUCAACCAGGACCUGGGACAUCUGGAGCUCGAAUGUCCUGAACUCAAGUUGUCUUGGUGGUAAAUGGGAUUGAUAAUCCUGGUGUGCUGGGUAGGGGGCUGAGAGGACUGGCUCCAGACGCUGGACAAGUGCAGGGUGGCCCAGCUGACCUCUUCCGCCUAGCCCCAGAGUUGGGGGAGCUGAAGGAUGGCUGGGCAGGGUCGUGUCACAGCCCCAGACCUGACCCUGGUCUCUUUGUCUCCAUGAACAGAUGUGGAGUGGGCAGGACCUCUGGGCAGUGUGUAAGGCACAUCUGGGCACAGAGACUAGGAAUGGGGCCCUACGGGGGCCUGCCCGCUGGCAUGAGGACACAUCCCCUAAGAAGACCUACCUCGGGAGGUGCCCUGCAGAGGGGACCCGUGCAGCCUGGAAUUGGAGGCAGGUUCUGUGCCCUGGUGGAAAAUCCCCCCCUUCCCCGACCUGCUGGGAGUCACGGCCGAGAGAAGAGCUCGUCCUGGCUGCCUGGCCAUAGACUUCCACUAUCAUGUGGCAGCGGGGACAAUGCCUGUGUGGAGAGCCGGCUUCUCUGCGCCUGCCUGGCCCACCAGAGACAGGAAGUAACUGGCCUAAGAGAACACAGCAAGUUGGUAGCAGACCUGGCUCUAGAGGCAAAGCCUUCUCCCAGGUGUAAACCAUACCUACAGGGUUCACUUGCCUUUCAGAGCAAUGGUUAAUACUUUGGGGGCACGAAGCCCUUUGAAAAUCUCACAAACGUUAUGAACCUUCUCCCCAGGAAAACAUGCAUACCCACGUAGACACAAGAAUCUACAAGCAAUUUCAGAGCUCCUGGACUCCAGGCUGAGGUUCUUGGCCCCAGGACCUAACACGCCACUCUUUCCUUACCUGACCGAGAGCCCAGAGUCUGGGCCACCAUACAAGUAGCAUUACUCCCUCCCCCCGGCUGAACUUCCUUCCCUCGUUCAGGAAUAAAGAAUUCUGAGUAGGGGA